rnacentral:rRNA from 1 species
AGUUUGAUCCUGGCUCAGGAUGAACCUUGGCGGUGUGCCUAAUACAUGCAAGUCGAACGGUGACUAUUUUGUAGCAAUACGAAUGAAAUCAUAGUGGCGAACGGGUGAGUAACGCGUUGGUGAUCUGCCUCGAAGUGUGGAAUAACUUCCCGAAAGGGUAGCUAAUACCGCAUAGUCUCUCAAGGUUUAGAAAAUUGAGAGUAAAGGAUUUAUUUCGCUUCGAGAGGAGCCUGCGUCCCAUCAGCUAGUUGGUAGGGUAAUAGCCUACCAAGGCAAUGACGGGUAGGGGACCUGAGAGGGUGGCCCCCCACAAUGGAACUGAAACACGGUCCAUACACCUACGGGUGGCAGCAGUAGGGAAUAUUAGAAAUGGGCGAAAGCCUGAUCUAGCAACACCGCGUGUGCGAUGAAGGCCUUCGGGUUGUAAAGCACUUUUUGGAGGGAAUAGGAAGGAAGGUACCUCCAGAAUAAGUCUCGGCUAACUACGUGCCAGCAGCCGCGGUAACACGUAGGAGGCAAACGUUAUCCGGAUUCACUGGGCGUAAAGCGCGUGUAGGUGGUUCUGUAAGUAGGGCGUGAAAGCUCCCGGCUCAACUGGGAGAGGCCGUACUAAACUGCAGAGCUAGAGGAUGGUAGAGGGAGGUGGAAUUCCAGGUGUAGUGGUGAAAUGCGCAGAUAUCUGGAGGAACACCAGUGGCGAAGGCGGCCUCCUGGACCAUUCCUGACACUCAGACGCGAAAGCUAGGGUAGCAAACGGAAUUAGAGACUCCGGUAGUCCUAGCCCUAAACGAUGCAGACUAGACGUCGGCGGUUUAAUCACCGUCGGUGUCCAAGCUAACGCGAUAAGUCUGCCGCCUGAGGACUACGGCCGCAAGGCUAAAACUCAAAGGAAUUGACGGGUCCCCGCACAAGCAGCGGAGCGUGUGGUUUAAUUCGAUGCUCCGCGUAGAACCUUACCUGGGUUUGACAUAACAGUGGUAGAGAAGUGAAAACGGAUCGACCCUUCGGGGAGCUGCUACAGGUGUUGCAUGCCUGUCGUCAGCUCGUGUCGUGAGAUGUUCGGUUAAGUCCGCUAACGAGCGCAACCCGCGCUGUGUGUUACAAGUGUCACACAGUACCGCCGGUAUUAAGUCGGAGGAAGGUGCGGAUGACGUCAAGUCAGCAUGACCUUUAUAUCCAGGGCUACACACACGCUACAAUGGUCAGAACAAUAGGUUGCCAAGCCGCAAGGCGGAGCCAAUCCUCCAAAUCUGGCCUCAGUUCAGAUUGCAGGCUGCAACUCGCCUGCAUGAAGUCGGAGUUGCUAGUAACCGCAGGUCAGCAUACUGCGGUGAAUACGUUCCCGGGGAUUGUACACAGCGCCCGUCA